rnacentral:rRNA from 1 species
AUGAACGCUAGCGGCAGGCUUAAUACAUGCAAGUCGAGGGGCAUCAAGGUACACGAAAGUGUAUUGUUGGCGACCGGCGGACGGGUGAGUAAUAGGUAGGUAACCUACCUCAUACUGAGGCAUAGCUGGGAGAAAUUCCAGGUAAUUCCUCAUGAGGUUAUAUGACACAUGUGAUAUAAUCAAAGGUAUCGCAAGGUACUGGUAUGAGAUGGGCUUACUGACCAUUAGCUAGUUGGUGAGAUAAGAGCUCACCAAGGCGAAGAUGGUUAGGGGUUUUGAGAGAGAGAUCCCCCACAUUGGAACUGAGAUACGGUCCAGACUCCUACGGGAGGCAGCAGUGGGGAAUUUUGGACAAUGGGCGCAAGCCUGAUCCAGCCAUGCCGCGUGCAGGAUGAAGGCCUUCGGGUUGUAAACUGCUUUUGUACGGAACGAAAAGACUCUUUCUAAUAAAGAGGGUCCAUGACGGUACCGUAAGAAUAAGCAACGGCUAACUCCGUG